rnacentral:rRNA from 1 species
AGAACGGACGCUGGCGGCAUGCCUAAUACAUGCAAGUCGAACGAACACUUCGGUGUUAGUGGCGCACGGGUGCGUAACGCGUGGGGAAUCUGCCCUUGGGUUCGGAAUAACAGUUGGAAACGACUGCUAAUACCGGAUGAUAUCGAAAGAUCAAAGAUUUAUCGCCAAGGGAUGAGCCCGCGUAGGAUUAGCUAGUGGUGAGGUAAAGGCUCACCAAGGCACGAUCCUUAGCUGGUCUGAGAGAUGAUCAGCCACACUGGGACUGAGACACGGGCCCAGACUCCUACGGGAGCCAGCAGUAGGGAUAUUGGACAAGUGGGACAAAGUCCUAGAACUUCCAGGU